rnacentral:rRNA from 1 species
AUGCGGAGGUUCAAUCCCUUUGGGGGGAAAGUACAGACUGGACUGGAAGGCCGCACCAUUGAUGUAAGGAAUGUGAAGAUCACAGUACGCAAUGCCAUUGCACAAGGAGGUUUCUCUUGUGUGUAUCUCGCAUGUGACGCGUUGCACUCGUCAAAGCAGUAUGCAUUGAAGCAUAUCAUUUGCAAUGACUCGGAAUCGCUUGAUCUUGUCACGAAGGAGAUCCAGGUGAUGAAUCUCCUCAAAGGGCAUGCCAAUGUCGUCACACUGGUUGCCCAUGAUGUUUUUGACAUGGGCCGCACAAAGGACGCAUUGCUUGUGAUGGAGUUUUGUGAGAAGUCCUUGGUGAGUGUGAUUGAGAGCAGAGGUACUGGUUACUAUGAGGAGAAGAAGGCGCUUUUGAUAUUCAGAGACGUCUGCAAUGCAGUUUUUGCUAUGCAUGGGCAGUCACCACCAAUUGCACAUAGGGAUCUUAAAGCCGAAAAUGUUCUUCUUGGAUUAGAUGGUGCAUGGAAACUAUGUGACUUUGGAAGCACGUCAACAAAUCAUAAAUGCUUUGACAAGCCAGAAGAUAGGGGGAUUGAGGAAGAUAUCAUUAGGAAGCAUACGACCCCGGCGUAUAGAGCACCUGAGAUGUGGGAUCUCUACAGAAGAGAAGUUAUUAGUGAAAAAGUUGAUAUUUGGGCCCUGGGAUGUCUUCUCUAUAGAAUAUGCUACUUCAAAUCCGCAUUUGAUGGAGAGUCGAAGUUGCAGGUCCUUAAUGGCAAUUAUCGCAUUCCAGAACAACCCAAGUACAGCACCAGUGUCACAGGGCUGAUCAAAGAUAUGCUGGAAGCAUCUCCAAAUGCCAGACCAGAUAUCACACAGAAGAGUUUACCUGAUGGGGCUUCAGCAGCAAUUUCUAUGGGCUUGCAGGACGAUGGUGCUUAUAAAAGAACACAUGUGACGCCUAAAAGGAACCCUCCUGCACCUCCAAGAGAACAAUCUGAUAACUCAUCAUCUCAUGGAAGUGCAAACGCCGGAGAUGCACCUCUGGGUGCAUUUUGGGUGACCCAACAUGCACAGGGUUCUCAAGUUGUUGAUAAUAGGAAUCCCUUGUUUGACGAGGAGCCAAUUAAACCAUCACCUUCAUCAAAGUAUAACCAAAGUAGGGUGGAUAUCAGCACCACUACCCCUGGAGAUAGGCAUGGUCAUUCUGGUCAGGUUUUGCGAAAUACAGCAAGUAACACUGUAUCCAGUAAUGGACUUAAGGGUGGUUCGGACAUAAAUCUUUUCAUGGAACCACAAGGUUAUGUGAAAAAUAAAGCAUCACAGCCACAAAGCAAGACUAUAUCUGCGAAAGAUCCCUUCAACAGUUUUGUCGCAGAUUUUGAUGCAAACAAUCUGCACUCAGGGACUACUGCUACUGGUAGGAUAUCCGAGCUUGAAGCUGAAGUGUCCAAUCUGAAGGAGCAGUUGAAGAAAACCACGUCGGAGAAGGCUGAGAUGACAGCCAAGUAUGAAAAGCUGUCGGCAAUCUGCCGCUCCCAGCGCCAAGAAAUUCAAGAGCUGAAGCGCACCGUUGCUGAGACUACACCACCGCCUUCAAGUAAAGUCAGCUCAAGGAUACCAGAACUUGGAUCCCAGCGGAAGGAGAGGAUUGAAGGAACGGUGUGGGAACUAGAGCAAGGAAUGCUCUCAGGCAACUCCUCGGUACCCAGCUCUGAGGCAAAGACAUGGCAGGCAUUCCCUGAGGCAAAAGCUCAGGCCAGGCCAAAGGUCGACCAUGCAACCAAUGGGAGGCAAAACCUAACACGGAACACGAAUGCGGGGCCUUCCCCUGAUGCGUGGGGUUUCGGCACAUCAUCGGGUAGCACUGCUGCAGCAACACAGAUGAACAGAACAAAUGCCAAGGUGAGUUCCUCCCAGAGAUUGAGCACGGGGGCAGCAAAGAAAGUAGAUCAGCCAUCAGGAUGGGCCGGAUUCUAG